AACGAACGCUGGCGGCGUGCCUAACACAUGCAAGUCGAGCGCGAAAGAGCAAUCUGAGUAGAGCGGCGCACGGGUGCGUAACACGUGGGUAAUCUGCCUCGAGGUCUGGGAUAACCUCCCGAAAGGUUGCUAAUACCAGUUAAGCUCACGGUGACUUCGGUCGCUGAGAGAAAAGGGGCCCAAAGGGUCUCGCCACGAGAUGAGCCCGCGGCCCAUCAGCUAG
rnacentral:rRNA from 1 species